rnacentral:rRNA from 1 species
UAUGUAGGUGACCAGCGUUGUCCGGAUUUACUGGGCGUAAAGAGCGCGCAGGCGGUCGUUCAAGUCGAGUGUGAAAGCCCCCGGCUCAACUGGGGAGGGUCACUCGAUACUGAUCGACUUGAAGGCAGGAGAGGGAAGCGGAAUUCCCGGUGUAGUGGUGAAAUGCGUAGAUAUCGGGAGGAACACCAGUGGCGAAGGCGGCUUCCUGGCCUGUUCUUGACGCUGAGGCGCGAAAGCCAGGGGAGCAAACGGG